GGAAUCCUACGGGGGGCAGCAGUCGGGAAUAUUGCGCAAUGGAGGAAACUCUGACGCAGUGACGCCGCGUGCAGGAAGAAGGGUUUCGGAUUGUAAACUGCUUUAGACAGGGAAGAUACAAGACAGUACCUGUAAAAUAAGCUCCGGCUAACUACGUGCCAGCAGCCGCGGCAAUACGUAGGGAGCAAGCGUUAUCCGGAUUUAUUGGGUGUAAAGGGUGCGUAGACGGGAAGGCAAGUUGGUUGUGAAAUCACUCGGCUUAACUGAGGAACUGCAACCAAAACUAUCUUUCUUGAGUGCUGGAG
rnacentral:rRNA from 1 species